AAUCAACGCUGGCGGCGUGCCUAACACAUGCAAGUCGAACGCGAAAGCCCCUUCGGGGGCAAGUAGAGUGGCGUCCGGGUGAGUAACACGUGGGUAAUCUACCUCCGGGUGGGGAAUAACUCGCCGAAAGGCGGGCUAAUACCGCAUAAUGCAGCGGCACCGAAUGGUGAUUAGUUGUUAAAGCGGGGGACCUUAGGGCCUCGCGUCUGGAGAGGAGCCUGCGGCAGAUUAGCUUGNGGUAGGGUAAUGGCCUACCAAGGCUGCGAUCUGUAGCUGGUCUGAGAGGACGGCCAGCCACACUGGCACUGACACACGGGCCAGACUCCUACGGGAGGCAGCAGUGGGGGAAUAUUGCGCAAUGGGCGAAAGCCUGACGCAGCGACGCCGCGUGGGGGA
rnacentral:rRNA from 1 species